rnacentral:rRNA from 1 species
UACGGAGGGUGCAAGCGUUGUUCGGAAUCACUGGGCGUAAAGGGCUUGUAGGCGGUCCGCUAAGUCUUUUGUGAAAGCCCGAGGCUUACCCUCGGAAGUGCAUUGGAGACUGGCGGACUGGAGUCCCGGAGAGGAGGGUGGAAUUCCUGGUGUAGCGGUGAAAUGCGUAGAUAUCAGGAAGAACACCCGUGGCUAAGGCGGCUCUCUAGUACGGUACUGACGCUGAGACGCGAAAGCGUGGGGAGCGAACAGG